rnacentral:misc_RNA from 1 species
CCACCCUCGAGCCCCCGGGCUCGGUGUUGGGGUCCCCUACGGCCGCCGUAGGCCCCGAAAUACAGUGGCGGACCCUCUGGCACUUCCGGGCGCAGUAGUCACAUCUCGCCUUCUGGAGGAGCCCUAGGGGUCUCUGCCUAGACACACUGACCGCCCCAGCGGCGGACGCUAU